rnacentral:rRNA from 1 species
GGGUAGUCCAGGGUGUAAACGCUGCAGACUUGGUGUUGGGGAUCCUACGAGGAUGCCCAGUGCCGGAGAGAAGUUGUUAAGUCUGCCGCUUGGGGAGUACGGCCGCAAGGCUGAAACUUAAAGGAAUUGGCGGGGGAGCACAGCAACGGGAGGAGCGUGCGGUUCAAUUGGAUCCAACGCCGGACAACUCACCGGGGGCGACGGUCACAUGAAGGCCAGGCUGAUGACCUUGCCUGAUUGACCGAGAGGUGGUGCAUGGCCGCCGUCAGUUCGUACCGUAGGGCGUUCUGUUAAGUCAGAUAACGAACGAGACCCUCGCCCCUAUUUGCCACCCUUCCUCCGGGAAGGGAGCACAAUAGGGGGACCCUGGCGCGAAGCCAGAGGAAGGAGAGGUCAACGGUAGGUCCGUAUGCCCCGAAUCCCCCGGGCUACACGCGCGCUACAAAGGGCAGGACAAAGGGGUUCCGACACCGAAAGGUGAAGGGUAAU